rnacentral:rRNA from 1 species
AACACGAAAGUGGACGUAUAGGGUGUGACGCCUGCCCGGUGCUGGAAGAUUAAAUGAUGGGGUGCAAGCUCUUGACUGAAGUCCCAGUAAACGGCGGCCGUAACUAUAACGGUCCUAAGGUAGCGAAAUUCCUUGUCGGGUAAGUUCCGACCUGCACGAAUGGCGUAACGACUUCCCCGCUGUCUCCAACAUCGACUCAGCGAAAUUGAAUUGCCUGUCAAGAUGCAGGCUUCCCGCGGUUAGACGGAAAGACCCCGUGCACCUUUACUACAGCUUCGCACUGGCAUCAGGAUUGUGAUGUGCAGGAUAGGUGGUGGGCUUUGAAGCAGAGACGCAAGUCUUUGUGGAGCCUCCCUUGAGAUACCACCCUUCGCACUCUUGAUGUCUAACCGCGGUCCGUUAUCCGGAUCCGGGACCCUGCGUGGCGGGUAGUUUGACUGGGGCGGUCGCCUCCUAAAGCGUAACGGAGGCGCGCGAAGGUUGGCUCAGAGCGGUCGGAAAUCGCUCGUUGAGUGCAAUGGCAGAAGCCAGCCUGACUGCGAGACUGACAAGUCGAGCAGAGUCGAAAGACGGCCAUAGUGAUCCGGUGGUCCCAAGUGGGAGGGCCAUCGCUCAACGGAUAAA